rnacentral:rRNA from 1 species
UACGGAGGAUGCAAGCGUUAUCCGGAAUGAUUGGGCGUAAAGCGUCCGCAGGUGGCAAUGUAAGUCUGCUGUCAAAGCGUCUGGCUCAACCAGAUAAAGGCAGUGGAAACUACAUAGCUAGAGUAAGGUAGGGGUAGAGGGAAUUCCUGGUGUAGCGGUGAAAUGCGCAGAUAUCAGGAAGAACACCCGUGGCUAAGGCGGUUCUCUAGUACGGUACUGACGCUGAGACGCGAAAGCGUGGGGAGCGAACAGG